rnacentral:rRNA from 1 species
AUUGAACGCUUGCGGCAGGCCUAACACAUGCAAGUCGAGCGAGCGGCGGACGGGUGAGUAAUGUAUGGGGACUGCCCGAUAGAGGGGGAUAACUACUGGAAACGGUAGCUAAUACCGCAUACUAUCGGAUAACCCAUAUGGGGUUAGCUAGUAGGUGAGGUAAUGGCUCACCUCUGCGACGAUCCCUAGCUGGUCGGAGAGGAUGAUCAGCCGCACUGGGACUGAGACACGGCCCAGACGGCUACGGAGGCAGCAGUGGGGAAUAUUGCAGAAUGGGCGCAAGCCUGAUGCAGCCAUGCCGCGUGUAUGAAGAAGGCCGUAGGGUUGUAAAGUACGUUCAGUCGGGAGGCGUUACCGACAGAAGAAGCACCGGCUAACUCCGUGCCAGCAGCCGCGGUAAUUC